rnacentral:rRNA from 1 species
CCCUUAGAUGUUCUGGGCCGCACACGCGCUACACUGAAGGAGGCAGCGUGUACUCCUGGAUCGAAAGAUUUGGGUAACCCGCGAAUCUCCUUCGUGCUAGGGAUUGAGGUUUGCAAUUAUCCUUCAUGAACGAGGAAUUCCCAGUAAGUGCAAGUCAUAAGCUUGCGCUAACUACGUCCCUGCCCUUUGUACACACCGCCCGUCGCUACUACCGAUUGAAUGAUUUAGUGAGGACUUCGGACUGGGACCGAUGCGGCUUUCGGGCUGCGUCGGUAUUCUGGAAAGAUGUCCAAACUGUAUCAUUUAGAGGAAGUAAAAGUCGUAACA